AAAACACUAGCGAACGCUGGCGGCAGGCCUAACACAUGCAAGUCGAACGGACCCUUCGGGGUUAGUGGCGGACGGGUGAGUAACACGUGGGAACGUGCCUUUAGGUUCGGAAUAGCUCCUGGAAACGGGUGGUAAUGCCGAAUGUGCCCUUCGGGGGAAAGAUUUAUCGCCUUUAGAGCGGCCCGCGUCUGAUUAGCUAGUUGGUGAGGUAACGGCUCACCAAGGCGACGAUCAGUAGCUGGUCUGAGAGGAUGACCAGCCACACUGGGACUGAGACACGGCCCAG
rnacentral:rRNA from 1 species